CCAGGGAACGGAUGGCCCAAAUACAUUACCAAUACCUGAUUCCCUACAAGCUUGUUCAUGGCCCAGAGAAGUAACAAACUCUACACAAUUCAAAGUCAACCUAUUUUGAGGAGGAGGAACUAGCGGCCCAAAAAAAGAAAAGGCUUCCACAAACGGUUGAUUUGGGCUAGAUGGCAAUUGCCCAUUAAAAUAACCAAGCCUUACCGGCCUAUGAUUAGCAGGCCCAUCGAAGUGCCCAGAUCCAAUCAGCC
rnacentral:lncRNA from 1 species